rnacentral:rRNA from 1 species
UACGAGGGGGGCAAGCGUUGUUCGGAAUUAUUGGGCGUAAAGGGCGCGUAGGCGGUGCGGUAAGUCUCAUGUGAAAUCUCCGGGCUCAACUCGGAGCCUGCAUGAGAAACUGCCGUGCUAGAGUGUGGAAGAGGUGAGUGGAAUUCCCGGUGUAGCGGUGAAAUUCGUAGAUAUUCGGAAGAACACCAGUGGCGAAGGCGACUUACUGGACACGUAUUGACGCUGAGGUGCGAAAGCGUGGGGAGCAAACAGG